rnacentral:rRNA from 1 species
CUGGGCUCGAAGCGCAGUGGAAUCCGGUGGAAACAUCGGCGCCCGCAAGGGCCGCUGCGGAGGUGCUGCAUGGCUGUCGUCAGCUCGUGUCGUGAGAUGUUGGGUUAAGUCCCGCAACGAGCGCAACCCUUAUCGUUAGUUGCCACCGGGUCAAGCCGGGCACUCUAGCGAAACCGCCUCGGAUAACGGGGAGGAAGGUGGGGAUGACGUCAAGUCCUCAUGGCCUUUAUGUCCAGGGCUACACACGUGCUACAAUGGUCGGUACAAACCGUCGCAAACCCGCGAGGGGGAGCUAAUCGGAAAAAGCCGGCCUCAGUUCGGAUUGGAGUCUGCAACUCGACUGCAUGAAGUCGGAAUCGCUAGUAAUCGCGGAUCAGCAUGUCGCGGUGAAUACGUU